GACGUAGGGCGCGAGCGUUGUCCGGAUUUAUUGGGCGUAAAGAGCUCGUAGGCGGCUUGUUGCGUCGGCUGUGAAAUCCCGUGGCUUAACUGCGGGCUUGCAGCUGAUACGGGCGGGCUGGAGUUCGGUAGGGGAGACUGGAAUUCCUGGUGUAGCGGUGAAAUGCGCAGAUAUCAGGAGGAACACCAAUGGCGAAGGCAGCUCGCUGGGACGGUACUGACGCUGAGACGCGAAAGCGUGGGGAGCAAACAGG
rnacentral:rRNA from 1 species